rnacentral:rRNA from 1 species
UACGUAGGGUGCUAGCGUUGUCCGGAAUCAUUGGGCGUAAAGAGCGCGUAGGCGGCUAGAUAAGUCCGGUGUGAAAGUCACAGGCUCAACCUGUGAAUGGCGCUGGAAACUGUCUGGCUAGAGUCCGGAAGGGGCGAGUGGAAUUCCUGGUGUAGCGGUGAAAUGCGCAGAUAUCAGGAGGAACACCAAUGGCGAAGGCAGCUCGCUGGGACGGUACUGACGCUGAGGCGCGAAAGCGUGGGGAGCAAACAGG